UGGGGAAUAUUGCGCAAUGGGGGAAACCCUGACGCAGCGACGCCGCGUUCGGGAUGAAGGCCUUCGGGUUGUAAACCGCUUUUGAUUGGGAGCAAGCUUUCGGGUGAGUGUACCUUUCGAAUAAGCGCCGGCUAACUACGUGCCAGCCGCCGCGGUAAUACGUAGGGCGCAAGCGUUAUCCGGAAUUAUUGGGCGUAAAGCGAGCGCAGGCGGUUAGAAAAGUCUGAAGUGAAAGGCAGUGGCUCAACCAUUGUAGGCUUUGGAAACUGUUUAACUUGAGUGCAGAAGGGGAGAGUGGAAUUCCAUGUGUAGCGGUGAAAUGCGUAGAUAUAUGGAGGAACACCGGUGGCGAAAGCGGCUCUCUGGUCUGUAACUGACGCUGAGGCUCGAAAGCGUGGGGAGCGAACAGG
rnacentral:rRNA from 1 species